CUAGUUGUACGAGUUUAGACUCGUAGCAUAUAGCUCAGUAACACGUGGCCAAACUACCCUACAGACCGCAAUAACCUCGGGAAACUGAGGCCAAUAGCGGAUAUAACUCUCAUGCUGGAGUGCCGAGAGUUAGAAACGUUCCGGCGCUGUAGGAUGUGGCUGCGGCCGAUUAGGUAGAUGGUGGGGUAACGGCCCACCAUGCCGAUAAUCGGUACGGGUUGUGAGAGCAAGAACCCGGAGACGGUAUCUGAGACAAGAUACCGGGCCCUACGGGGCGCAGCAGGCGCGAAACCUUUACACUGCACGACAGUGCGAUAGGGGGACUCCGAGUGCGAGGGCAUAUAGCCCUCGCUUUUCACCACCGUAAGGUGGUGGUGGAAUAAGAGCUGGGCAAGACCGGUGCCAGCCGCCGCGGUAAUACCGGCAGCUCGAGUGAUGGCCGAUUUUAUUGGGCCUAAAGCGUCCGUAGCCGGCCACACAAGUCCAUCGGGAAAUCCGCCAGCCCAACUGGCGGGCGUCCGGUGGAAACUGUGUGGCUCGGGACCGGAAGACCCAACAGGUACGUCUUGGGUAGGAGUG
rnacentral:rRNA from 1 species